AAGGUAGCAUAAUCAUUUGUUCUUUAAUUGGGGGCUGGCAUGAAAGGUUUAACUGGAGAUAGGUGUCUUUUUUAUAAAAGAGUAAUUUGUAUUUUGAGUUAAAAUACUUAAUUGAACUUAAGGGACGAUAAGACCCUAAAAGCUUUAUUUUAAGUAAGUGCGUUUUGCUGAUCUUUAAAGUAAUUUAGCUGGGGUAGCUGGUUUAAUUAAACUAAAUCGGUUAAGAGACUCUUUGAGAGGUUGAAGGUCCUUUAUAUAAGGAUACAUAGAUACAGUUACUUUAGGGAUAACAGCGUGAUAGUUUUGGUGAGAUCUUAUCUAUAAGGCUGAUUGCGACCUCGAUGUUGAAUUAUAAGUUCUUUGCAGUGCAGCAGCUGUGAAAGAAGGUUUGUUCAACCUUUAAAUUUUUACGUGAUCU
rnacentral:rRNA from 1 species